GGUCUGCAGCUGCGCAGAGAAUGAAAUGGAGGGUCCAACACAGACAAGGCCGACCACUUUACCGGAUGAAAGCCAUACCAGAGGCAGAAUAUGACAGAAUUGAAAUACUACAGAGGAAGAUAUGAAGAGUUACAGCUAGCAAGUAUGGGCCAUUCUUUCAGAAGAUGACAUUGGAUCACUGAGAACUGGAGUCAUUGAUGGUUAGACUCUCUCACGGGGACUCGAGAGUCACAGAUUUUGCAGACUACAUGGCUAGGGAGCUCCAGUGACAAGGCUGUCUUGACCUUCCAAUGUUGUGAGUUAUAAGCACAUACUUCUGUGCUUUCCCCAUUUUUGUUUUUGUUUUAGUAUUUUUUGAGAUAA